AGAACGAACGCUGGCGGCAUGCCUAACACAUGCAAGUCGAACGCUCGUAGCAAUACGGGAGUGGCGGACGGGUGAGUAACGCGUGGGAACCUGCCCUGGAGUGGGGGAUAACCGAUGGAAACGUCGGCUAAUACCGCAUACGACCUGAGGGUGAAAGAUUUAUCGCUCUAGGAGGGGCCCGCGUCGGAUUAGCUAGUUGGUGAGGUAACGGCUCACCAAGGCGAUGAUCCGUAGCUGGUCUGAGAGGAUGACCAGCCACACUGGGACUGAGACACGGCCCAGACUCCUACGGGAGGCAGCAGUGGGGAAUAUUGGACAAUGGGGGCAACCCUGAUCCAGCAGUGCCGCGUGAGUGAUGAAGGCCUUAGGGUUGUAAAGCCCUUUCGGCGGGGAAGAUAAUGACGGUACCCGCAGAAGAAGCCCCGGCUAACUUCGUGCCAGCAGCCGC
rnacentral:rRNA from 1 species